GCUAAGCACAGUGGUGUGCACCUGUAGUCCCAGUUAUUUGGGAAGCUGAGACAGGGGAAUAAAUUGAGUCCAGGAAUUUGAGACCAGCCUGGGAAAUAUAGCCAGACCCCAUCUAAA
rnacentral:sRNA from 1 species